UGAUAAAAAGAGGAAUUGAACCUCCAUCAAUGGGACUACAGCCCACCACCUAAACAUUCGGCCAUUUUACC
rnacentral:tRNA from 1 species